rnacentral:lncRNA from 1 species
AAGGUUGAUGUAAACAAAGAAAAGAAAAUUCAACAGAUGAGGCUUUUUGACAAGAAGUGUUAUUUUGAAAUGAUUUUUAGCCAGCAAAUCAAGGUUAACAGCAUCUAGAGAAAUUUGCACAGCAACAUGGAGGAGAAAAACCAUCAAUCCUUGCAAAUCUUGCUGGACGGAAUUGGGAUUUUUUAGCACAAGCAACAAUUCAUGGAAAAAACUAUGAAAAAAGGCUCUAGGUGUAAUACCACCAUUGAUUCUCCC